UUAUAGGGAAUGAAGCAGUAAUGAUUUCAAAGUCAAACUAAGCUAGGUAUAAAUCUUGUCUCUGGUAGUUAUUAGUAAUGUGCCCUUGGAGAAUGCACUUAUCCUUUAUGAGUGUCCUUUUUUUUUUUUUUCUGAGACAGAGUUUCGCCCUGUUGACCAGGCUGGAGGGCAGUGGCAUGAUCUCGGCUCACUGCAGCCUCCAUCUCCCAGGUUCAAGUGAUUCUCCUGCCUCAGCCUCCCAAGUAGCUGGGAUUACAGGCACGAGCCACCAUGCCAGACUAAUUUUUGUAUUUUUAAUAGAGAUGGGGUUUCACUACAUUGGCCAGGCUGGUCUCAAACUCCUGACCUCAUGAUCUGCCCGCCUCAGGCUCCCAAAGUGCUGGGGAUUACAGGCGUGAGCCACCAUGCCCAGCUCAUUUCUUUAUCUGUAUACUAGGGAAGGCAAUAUCUACCUUAUGGGGCUAUGAUGAGGAUUAAAUUAAGUGAGAUUACGUGUAAAAGUGCCAAGCAUAUUUCCUGGAACACAACUUGCUUAAUUCCCAUUACUUUUACUUCCAUAUUGCAUCCUUUAGGUGCUCUCUCUCACGUUAAGGAGACAUGCCUAAGUCCUUCGACUUCAUCUGCCACAGACUGGGCAGGAGCCUGGAACCCAACCCCAUUAUGAUACAAUUGAGUUCCUGGCAACAACCCUGACUGGAAGUGGCUGGGGACAGAGUGUCCCACGGCCUGGAGCAGAGCUUGUUAGAUUAAAGAUGGAAAAAACUGGGUCCAUCUUUAAGAGCUGCCAAGUGAACCAGGAACCACCCAUCCCCUGCAGGAAGGAACUGUUGUGUCAUUAAUAAUACUUAGCAUUGUCCUAGUGUUUUUCCAAGCUAAUUAAUUCUGCUCCAAAUCCCAGAAAACAAACGACUGAGUGAGUUGGAGACAGAUCUCGUUUCUGAGACAGAAGGGUAGAGAAGCGUGUCCUCUGCAGUGACUGGGGGAAGAGAAAAGCCUCAUCACCACUUCUUAGAGCCAAGUUACCCAGGGCAAGGAAAGGGCAUUGAGUCCUGGGGAUGGUGGGUACUUACCUCCCUAUCUGCAAGAUCUUUAAACAGGAACAGUCACCCAAAGUUGCAGAUACAAGAAGGCUCACCCAUCCCUAGGACACAUUGCCCAGAAGUGGCAGGUGUUGGUAAGCUGGCUUCAUGGUCCAGAUGGAAAAGUUUAUCCUUCUCUCUCUCCCUAGAGCACGGGACAAAGCUCAUGUGCCAGGACAUGACAUGUAGCUGACUGGUCAACUCUGUGCCAUUUAACUCCAUGGAUACUUACUUUACAGACCAGAAUCUGGGAACACCAAGAAUCCAACUCCAACUCCUCCCUUCAUGGGAGUGCAGAGUCAAGUGUGAGAGACCAAAAAGGCAGAAAGUUUCAUUGUAAAGAGAAAUACUCAGAUGAGGGAGUACAAAGGAUGUGAGGCAGUAUGGAAAGGAUUCCUGGAAAAGAAUAUUUUGAGCUGUUUGGAAAGAUGAUUAAAAACAACAAAACAAAGAAAUGGACAGAGGACUUAAAGUCAAGAGGCUUAAAGUCAAGAAAGGGCAAAGCACAUUCAGGAACUUGAACAUAGUUCCUUGGAGAGUUGGGGAAUUUCAGUUUGACAAUGACUCCUGUCAUCACAAAGGAAAGAAAGGCUCGUGACAAGACAAACAAGUGUACAAAUAUGUACAGCACGCAAUGAGGGCCCAGAGGAAGAAAGAAAGAUUAAAGGAUAGGAGAGACUACUUUUGCCUUGAGGGGAAGAAAGAAGUCAGGGGCUGGCUAACAGGGGGUGUGGAAGCCUGCAAACUACACUUCAUAGGCUGUGAUCAGCUGCCUUCUGGUUGGGCUCUGCCAGUGAAAAGCCUUGGGACAGGACUCAAAUGCUGGAGGGAAGGAGAAGUUUGAUUUUGCAUUGUUUUGGUUUUGUUUUACCCCUGCUUUCACAAAUGCCUCCCCGAGUGGUGACACAUCAGCGGAAGUGCAACUUCUGGCCCCCUGCACAGCUUCAGGGACCAUCUGAUAGCAGUAACAGCAACUGCACCUCCAGAAGAUCAGAAGCACAUGCAGGCUGGGCUUCUGUCAAAGGCUGGGAAGAGCUCCCUGGCCUCUGAGUUUCUCCCUUCUCCCUUUUACUCUUCUACCUCUUCCAAAAGAUUGUAACCAACUCCCUGUAUUAAAUCCCUCUCUGCUGGAAAUACCUCCAGUGCAAUCUACUUUCUUAACUGAGCACUGAUGGGUACACCAUUUAAUGCACAAGGAGACCGAGGUACAGAGAGGUUAAGUAACUUGUCCCAAGGCAAACAGCUAGGAAGUAACAUAAAGCACAGAUAAAGAAAAAGAAAAAAAACAAGGUAUUGAAUUAAGUCAAGGUUUCUUAAGCAUGUCAUGCAAAGCCCUUCAUAAUUACCUUCCUCUCUCCAUCCAUAUUCUAUGGUCUAGCUGGAAAGUGACACCUAGCUGGAGAUUGUGCUUUGUUGUUGUUUUUGUUAAUGAAUGAAGGAAUGAAUGCCAGAUGUACCAUACUUGUGUAAAACCCCAGCAGGAAAUGUGACUGCAGUGGACAUUGGAUGAAUCAGUGAAUAAAUAAAUAAUAAACAAAUGAAUAAACUCCAAGCACACAACAAAUCAACCUGGGUAGCAAUUUCCUGCCUCUGUGUUCCUCCCGCCCUCAGACUCAGAGCCCUGAUGCAUCCAAGAGACUGAAUGUUCACAUCACUUAUACAGAGUAAGCAUGCGAUAAAUGCAUAUUUAUUAAACUAAUGAAGAGAAGAAUCCAUCAAAAAUGCAAUCAAUCAAGUCAUUGCCCAGUGAUGUUUAAAAUUCUAGUUUAUUGAACCACAAAAAUCUUCCAGGAAGAAGGCACAGAAGAAAACCUUUACAUUUUCCUAAAAACAAAAACCUCUACUAUAACAACCAGCAAAUAAUUAGACGUUAAUGUCUCUAACUUAAAAAAAAAAAAAAAAGUAACCACAGUUAAUCUCAGGGGAUAUCCUGUAUGAAAAGGGAAAAAACAAUGAGUCAUGGAUUCUAACCUCCUGUUUAUAACCGGGGCCCACAAAUGAUCUGUUGCUGAAGGAGAAGAAAGCCAUUAAUCUCCCAACUCAGGGAGCAAUUUUAUAUUUUGAAUAAAAACAAAAUAAACAGCAUUAAGGAGGGAAAUAAAUCAGAUAUGCAGUAAUUAGUUUGAAGGAGCCGGAUUUUCCUGCCUAACACUCUCUUUGGAACUUCUGCCUUAUCCAUCAAAGCAAAAGUGUAUCAGAUGACAUGGAGAUUUUCCAUUCCCUUUUCAGACAAAAUUAGUCAGCUGAUGUGAAUAGUAAUUUGACAGGACCCAGAAGAGAGAGCAUGAGUGAUGGGAUUAUAAUAAAUGCGGGAGAGGAUGCUUAAUAAACUUUGGUGAAGCCCUGGAUCCUGCACUUUUCCUCUCCUACCCUCUGUGUAACUCCUGAUUUAUGAAAUUGUUACUUUUUUCUCUGUGAAUUCUUAGAAGGCUUGGACUUUUUAAAAAUAAAGAAUCUAAAAAGGACCUUAUUUAUUUUCUUACCCAGUAUCCUUAUUUUAAAGAUUUAGAAGGCUCAGCCCAGAAACAAUAAUUGACUUGCUUAAGUUUCCACAACAAAAUCAGCUGAAGCACCAGGAUCAAAAACCUGGCCACGUGCCUCCCCGCCCUCAAAGCUCAAUAAAGACAAAAGCACAAACAAUUGUGAAGUGGUUCCUUACUGAAGGCAAUCUUGGGUCUCAUGCAGCACUUUCUGGGGACUGGUGUCCUUGUAAGUAGAGGAAAUUUGGACACAGACGCAUCCAGAGGGAAGAUGAUGUGAAGACACAAGGAGGGGAUAGCCAUUGCAGAUCAGUGAGAGAAGCCUAGGAAAGAUUUCUCCUUCUGUGGACUAAAGAAAAAAUGAAGCUUUUAAAGAAUUAAAGAAUCCUCCCAGAGAGCUGCACUUUGUCACAGCAUCAGGGGCUUUGUGAAAUUAUGCUAGCAAGCAGAAGUGAGCAAAUACGGCUUUUUGCAUUUGCUGCUUUGUCUCACACUUCACAGCCCUCAAAGGAGCCAAUGCUGCAGACGCCUUGAUUUUGGACCUCCAGCCUCCAGAACUGUGAGAAAAUACAUUUCUGUUGUUUAAGCCACUCAGUUAAUAGUCCACUGUUUUGGCAGCCCUAACAAACCAAUAAAAUGAGUUACCUGGUGAUCACAUGAAACGUCAGCUGUGAUGACAAAAAGGUGCCCUUAAGAACACAAAACAACUGGGGUCCACCAUGUGGAAGCAGAAGCCUGCAAGGAGUGAAACUGCAGGAAAGGAAGAAAUGCCCAGUAGAAGAGAGGCCCCAGGUGCUCGCUCUGGCAGUACAUAUACUAAAAUUGGAACGAUACAGAGAAAAUUAGCAUGGCCCCUGUGCAAGGAUGACACACAAAUUUGUGAAGCGUUCCCUAUUUUUAAAAGUUAAAAAAAAUUUUUUUUAAAAGACAGGAGGUCCCAGGAAGCCCUGCUGCCUCUCUGCCCACCCUCUCCAGGCCAACCCUGCUACCAGGAAGAAAUUCACAGGGCCAAAUUACUCAGUCAUGUGUAUUGAGGCCAGAAAUGCAUUAUUUAAUUUUUUGCAGCAGAUGUACCUUUUUAAUACUGUUUUGUUUCAGGCUAAAAUUACAAUAUUAAAAUUUAAUAUUCAAACAUUAGCAUGAGUUUGCAUUUCUUGAAUGUCCACCCACCUUUUUCCUCCAGCAUAUGUGGAAUGGCAACAGGGAAGGGGUGGGAAGAGGACAAGGCUGUGGCUGCUGGUCUUAGCUCCGCAUCUGAGUGGCUCUGUGGCCUUGAUCACAUUGCUCCACUCCUCCAGGGUUUGGUUCCCUCCUCUCUCAAAUGAUGGAAAUAACCUGGGUGUUCUAGAAGGCUCCUGCACCUCAAAGUAUUCCCAAGUCUGUGUAUCUCUGGAGACUGGAGGGAGCCAAGAAGAGAUGGACAACAGAUGCCUGAGCAGAACUGAUAUGUAUCUGCACUUUUGCCGUCAUCAGAUGUUGGAGGGGUCUUGGAGAGAGCCAUGAACAAGAGCAUCUCCCAGUGUUGAUAGGGUCCCUCCAGACUUUUAGGGAGAAAAGUAAAGAAAAAUUCCUAGUGGUUGUUCCUAUAUCUCUUGCAAAGGAUAAAAGGUAAACAUUAUAUGUAUACUUUUUUUUUUUUUGAGACUGACUCUUGCUCUGUUGCCCAGGCUGGAGUGUAGUGGUGGGAUCUUGUCUCACUGCAACCUCUGCCUCCCAGGUUCCAGCAGUUCU
rnacentral:lncRNA from 1 species